rnacentral:rRNA from 1 species
GACGAACGCUGGCGGCGUGCCUAACACAUGCAAGUCGAGCGAAUGAAGUUCCUUCGGGAACGGAUUUAGCGGCGGACGGGUGAGUAACACGUGGGCAACCUGCCUCAUAGAGGGAAUAGCCUUCCGAAAGGGAGAUUAAUACCGCAUAAGAUUAUAGUACCGCAUGGUACAGCAAUUAAAGGAGCAAUCCGCUAUGAGUUGGGCCCGCGGCGCAUUAGCUAGUUGGUGAGGUAACGGCUCACCAAGGCGACGAUGCGUAGCCGACCUGAGAGGUGAUCGGCCACAUUGGGACUGAGACACGGCCCAGACUCCUACGGGAGGCAGCAGUGGGGAAUAUUGCACAAUGGGGGAAACCCUGAUGCAGCAACGCCGCGUGAGUGAUGACGGCCUCGGGUUGUAAAGCUCUGUCUUCAGGGACGAGUAAAUGAACGGUAACCCGUUGAGGGAAGGGAAAGGCCGACGGCUAACUACGUGCCAGCAG